rnacentral:rRNA from 1 species
GACGAACGCUGGCGGCGUGCUUAACACAUGCAAGUCGAACGGUGAAGGGGCCUGCUUUUGUGGGCCCUGGAUGAGUGGCGAACGGGUGAGUAACACGUGAGUAACCUGCCCCCUUCUUCUGGAUAACCGCAUGAAAGUGUGGCUAAUACGGGAUAUUCUGGGUCUGUCGCAUGAUGGGUCUGGGAAAGAUUGCGCCUUUGGGUGUUUUUGGUGGGGGAUGGGCUCGCGGCCUAUCAGCUUGUUGGUGGGGUGAUGGCCUACCAAGGCGGUGACGGGUAGCCGGCCUGAGAGGGUGGACGGUCACACUGGGACUGAGACACGGCCCAGACUCCUACGGGAGGCAGCAGUGGGGAAGAUUGCACAAUGGGCGCAAGCCUGAUGCAGCGACGCCGCGUGAGGGAUGGAGGCCUUCGGGUUGUAAACCUCUUUCGCCAGUGAAGCAGGCCUGCUCCUUGUGGGUGGGUUGACGGUAGCUGGAUAAGAAGCGCCGGCUAACUACGUG